GGCAGCUUGCUGCCGGGGUGAGAGUGGCGAACGGGUGAGUAAUGCGUGACCGACCUGCCCCAUGCACCGGAAUAGCUCCUGGAAACGGGUGGUAAUGCCGGAUGUUCCACAUGAGCGCAUGCGAGUGUGGGAAAGGCUUUUUGCGGCAUGGGAUGGGGUCGCGUCCUAUCAGCUUGUUGGUGGGGUAACGGCCUACCAAGGCGUUGACGGGUAGCCGGCCUGAGAGGGCGACCGGCCACAUUGGGACUGAGAUACGGCCCAGACUCCUACGGGAGGCAGCAGUGGGGAAUAUUGCACAAUGGGCGCAAGCCUGAUGCAGCGACGCCGCGUGCGGGAUGGAGGCCUUCGGGUUGUAAACCGCUUUUGUUCAAGGGCAAGGCACGGUUUCGGCCGUGUUGAGUGGAUUGUUCGAAUAAGCACCGGCUAACUACGUGCCAGCAGCCGCGGUAAUACGUAGGGUGCAAGCGUUAUCCGGAUUUAUUGGGCGUAAAGGGCUCGUAGGCGGUUCGUCGCGUCCGGUGUGAAAGUCCAUCGCUUAACGGUGGAUCCGCGCCGGGUACGGGCGGGCUUGAGUGCGGUAGGGGAGACUGGAAUUCCCGGUGUAACGGUGGAAUGUGUAGAUAUCGGGAAGAACACCAAUGGCGAAGGCAGGUCUCUGGGCCGUUACUGACGCUGAGGAGCGAAAGCGUGGGGAGCGAACAGGAUUAGAUACCCUGGUAGUCCACGCCGUACACGGUGGAUGCUGGAUGUGGGGCCCUUUU
rnacentral:rRNA from 1 species